AGCCUGUCCCAGUUCGGACUGGAGUCUGNAACCCGACUCCACGAAGUUGGAUUCGCUAGUAAUCGCGCAUCAGCCAUGGCGCGGUGAAUACGUUCCCGGGCCUUGUACACACCGCCCGUCAAGCCAUGGGAGCCGGGGGCGCCUGAAGUCCGGGACCGCGAGGACCGGCCUAGGGCGAAACUGGUAACUGGGGCUAAGUCGUAACAAGGUAAC
rnacentral:rRNA from 1 species